rnacentral:rRNA from 1 species
GACGAACGCUGGCGGCGUGCUUAACACAUGCAAGUCGAACGAAGAGCGAUGGAAGCUUGCUUCUAUCAAUCUUAGUGGCGAACGGGUGAGUAACGCGUAAUCAACCUGCCCUUCAGAGGGGGACAACAGUUGGAAACGACUGCUAAUACCGCAUACGAUCUAAUCUCGGCAUCGAGGAUAGAUGAAAGGUGGCCUCUACAUGUAAGCUAUCACUGAAGGAGGGGAUUGCGUCUGAUUAGCUAGUUGGAGGGGUAACGGCCCACCAAGGCGAUGAUCAGUAGCCGGUCUGAGAGGAUGAACGGCCACAUUGGGACUGAGACACGGCCCAGACUCCUACGGGAGGCAGCAGUGGGGAAUCUUCCGAAAUGGACGAAAGUCUGACGGAGCAACGCCGCGGGAGUGAUGACGGCCUUCGGGUUGUAAAGCUCUGUUAAUCGGGACGAAAGGCCUUCUUGCGAAUAGUGAGAAGGAUUGACGGUACCGGAAUAGAAAGCCACGGCUAACUACGUG